UACGAAGGGGGCUAGCGUUGUUCGGAAUCACUGGGCGUAAAGGGCGCGUAGGCGGCCGAUCAAGUCGGGGGUGAAAGCCUGUGGCUCAACCACAGAAUUGCCUUCGAUACUGUUUGGCUUGAGACCGGAAGAGGUUAGUGGAACUGCGAAGUGUAGAGGUGAAAUUCGUAGAUAUUCGCAAGAACAUCAGUGGCGAAGGCGGCCUGCUGGGC
rnacentral:rRNA from 1 species